rnacentral:misc_RNA from 1 species
GAUGAAGAACGUAGCGAAAUGCGAUACGUAGUGUGAAUUGCAGAAUUCCGUGAACCAUCAAAUCUUUGAACGCAUAUUGCGCUCGAGGCUUCGGCCGAGAGCAUGUCUGCCUCAGCGUCGGUAUUACCCCUCGCUUCUCAACCCCUGGUUGAUGCCUGCCUGCCUUUGCAGUUGGCUAGAAGCGGAUCUGGCUUUCCCAAUUGCCUUUGGUAGUUGGGUCAGCUGAAGCACAGAGGCUUGAGCAAGGACCCUUAUUGGGCUUCAGCUGGAUAGGUAGAACUGGUCUUAGGACCAACUACACGAAGUUGUUGCUUGUGGUCUUUUGUCUGGAGGCCAGCAGGAAACCUUUAUACCUUCGACCUGAGCUCAGGCAAGAUUACCCGCUGAACUUAAGCAUAUCAAUAAGCGGAGGA